UACGUAGGUGGCAAGCGUUGUCCGGAUUUAUUGGGUUUAAAGGGUGCGUAGGCGGUCCUAUAAGUCAGUGCUGAAAUAUCCCGGCUUAACCGGGAGGGUGGCAUUGAUACUGUUGGACUUGAGUAAAGUUGAGGUUGGCGGAAUUGACGGUGUAGCGGUGAAAUGUGUAGAGAUCCGGAGGAAUACCAGUGGCGCAAGCGGCGCCCUGGGUCGGUACUGACGCUGAGAUACGAAAGCGUGGGGAGCGAACGGG
rnacentral:rRNA from 1 species